rnacentral:lncRNA from 1 species
UUCAUAUAGUUCUGUGAACAUUCUUGUACAUUUCUUUUGGUGUCUGCCAUCUUGAAUGAAAAAUUUUAAAAUAAUUUCUAAUCUAAUCAAGAAUGUGACUUGAAGAACUUUUAUGUCUAGCUGGAUGAUUCUAAAUGCACCGAUCAGCACUCUGGGUCUAGCUCAGGGUUUAAGGAUGCAAAAAUUUGUAUGUAAAUACUAUGAAGUUCCUAGAUAUCCUUUUGGGAAAUAAACAUAGUAUAACUCAAUCAAUAAAUAAUGGGGAUUAGAUUUUCUUAUUCCCACUUUACGAUUUCUGAAGAGGUACAGUGGAUUAGGCUACAGAAUUAAGGGACUUAGUUUCUAUAAUUAAAAGAACAUGCUUAUUCAAUUGUUUAUCAAAGGUGACAUUAUACAAAACAAUGAAGGAUACAUCACUUGUAAUUUGUUAAGCCACUGUUAAUACUACCCUGCUAGACACUUUACAUGUGAUGAGAAAAUUG